rnacentral:rRNA from 1 species
CGGGACGGGUGAGUAAUGUCUGGGAAACUGCCUGAUGGAGGGGGAUAACUGCUGGAAACGGUAGCUAAUACCGCAUAACGUCGCAAGACCAAAGAGGGGGACCUUCGGGCCUCUUGCCAUCGGAUGUGCCCAGAUGGGAUUAGCUAGUAGGUGGGGUAACGGCUCACCUAGGCGACGAUCCCUAGCUGGUCUGAGGGGAUGACCAGCCACACUGGAACUGAGACACGGUCCAG